GGGAUUGCCCCAGUAACGGCGAGUGAAGCGGCAAGAGCUCAAAUUUGAAAUCUGGCCUCCCCCGGGGGCCCGAGUUGUAAUUUGCAGAGGAUGUUUCGGGUGCGGCCGCCGUCUAAGUUCCUUGGAACAGGACGUCAGAGAGGGUGAGAAUCCCGUCUUGGGCGGGCGGUCCGCGCCCGUGUGAAGCUCCUUCGACGAGUCGAGUUGUUUGGGAAUGCAGCUCUAAGCGGGUGGUAAAUUUCAUCUAAAGCUAAAUAUUGGCCGGAGACCGAUAGCGCACAAGUAGAGUGAUCGAAAGGUUAAAAGCACCUUGAAAAGGGAGUUAAACAGCACGUGAAAUUGUUGAAAGGGAAGCGCUUGCGGCCAGACUCGGGGGCGGGGUUCAGCGGGUGCUCGUCGCCCGUGUAUUCCUCGUUUCCCGGGCCAGCAUCAGUUUCGACGGCCGGUCAAAGGCCCCCGGAAUGUGUCGUCUCUCGGGACGUCUUAUAGCCGGGGGUGCAAUGCGGCCCGUCGGGACUGAGGAACGCGCUCCGGCUCGGAUGCUGGCGUAAUGGCCGUAAGCGGCCCGUCUUGAAACACGGACCAAGGAGUCUAACAUCCACGCGAGUGUUCGGGUGUCAAACCCGUGCGCGCAGUGAAAGCGAACGGAGGUGGGAGCCCUAGGGCGCACCAUCGACCGAUCCUGAAGUCUUCGGAUGGAUUUGAGUAGGAGCGUGGCCGUUGGGACCCGAAAGAUGGUGAACUAUGCCUGAAUAGGGUGAAGCCAGAGGAAACUCUGGUGGAGGCUCGCAGCGGUUCUGACGUGCAAAUCGAUCGUCGAAUUUGGGCAUAGGGGCGAAAGACUAAUCGACCAUCUAGUAGCUGGUUCCUGC
rnacentral:rRNA from 1 species